rnacentral:miRNA from 1 species
UUCCCUCGGACAGCCAGCA